GAUGAACGCUAGCGGCAGGCCUAAUACAUGCAAGUCGAACGGGAUCCAUUUGUUAGCUUGCUAACAGAUGGUGAGAGUGGCGCACGGGUGCGUAACGCGUGAGCAACCUACCCAUAUCAGGGGGAUAGCCCGAAGAAAUUCGGAUUAACACCGCAUGAGACUACGAGAUGGCAUCAUCAAGUAGUUAAAUAUUUAUAGGAUAUGGAUGGGCUCGCGUGACAUUAGCUAGUUGGUGAGGUAACGGCUCACCAAGGCGACGAUGUCUAGGGGCUCUGAGAGGAGAAUCCCCCACACUGGUACUGAGACACGGACCAGACUCCUACGGGAGGCAGCAGUAAGGAAUAUUGGUCAAUGGACGGAAGUCUGAACCAGCCAUGCCGCGUGCAGGAUGACUGCCCUAUGGGUUGUAAACUGCUUUUGUCGAGGAAUAAACCUAUCUACGUGUAGAUAGCUGAAUGUACUCGAAGAAUAAGGAUCGGCUAACUACGUGCCAGCAGCCGCGGUAAUACGUAGGUCCCGAGCGUUGUCCGGAUUUAUUGGGCGUAAAGCGAGCGCAGGCGGUUUAAUAAGUCUGAAGUUAAAGGCAGUGGCUUAACCAUUGUUCGCUUUGGAAACUGUUAAACUUGAGUGCAGAAGGGGAGAGUGGAAUUCCAUGUGUAGCGGUGAAAUGCGUAGAUAUAUGGAGGAACACCGGUGGCGAAAGCGGCUCUCUGGUCUGUAACUGACGCUGAGGCUCGAAAGCGUGGGGAGCAAACAGGAUUAGAUACCCUGGUAGUCCACGCCGUAAACGAUGAGUGCUAGGUGUUAGGCCCUUUCCGGGGCUUAGUGCCGCAGCUAACGCAUUAAGCACUCCGCCUGGGGAGUACGACCGCAAGGUUGAAACUCAAAGGAAUUGACGGGGGCCCGCACAAGCGGUGGAGCAUGUGGUUUAAUUCGAAGCAACGCGAAGAACCUUACCAGGUCUUGACAUCCCAGUGACCGCUCUAGAGAUAGAGUUUUUCUUCGGAACACUGGUGACAGGUGGUGCAUGGUUGUCGUCAGCUCGUGUCGUGAGAUGUUGGGUUAAGUCCCGCAACGAGCGCAACCCUUAUUGUUAGUUGCCAUCAUUCAGUUGGGCACUCUAGCGAGACUGCCGGUAAUAAACCGGAGGAAGGUGGGGAUGACGUCAAAUCAUCAUGCCCCUUAUGACCUGGGCUACACACGUGCUACAAUGGUUGGUACAACGAGUCGCAAGUCGGUGACGGCAAGCAAAUCUCUUAAAGCCAAUCUCAGUUCGGAUUGUAGGCUGCAACUCGCCUACAUGAAGUCGGAAUCGCUAGUAAUCGCGGAUCAGCACGCCGCGGUGAAUACGUUCCCGGGCCUUGUACACACCGCCCGUCACACCACGAGAGUUUGUAACACCCGAAGUCGGUGAGGUAACCGUAAGGAGCCAGCCGCCUAAGGUGGGAUAGAUGAUUGGGGUG
rnacentral:rRNA from 1 species